AUUGAACGCUGGCGGCAGGCCUAACACAUGCAAGUCGAGCGAGCGGCGGACGGGUGAGUAAUGCCUGGGAAUUGUCCCGUCGAGGGGGAUAACAGUGGGAAACGACUGCUAAUACCGCAUUCGAUUGGAUUGCCCAGAUGGGAUUAGCUAGUUGGUGAGGUGAUGGCACACCAAGGAGACGAUCCCUAGCUGGUCUGAGUGUAUGAUCAGGCACACUACAACGGAGAUACGGUCCAGACUAAAACGGGCGGCAGCAGUGGAGAAUAUAGCACGAUGGAGGAACCCCUGAUGCAGCCAUGCCGCGUGUGGGAGGAAGGCAUUCGGGUUGUAAAGCACUUUCAGCGAGGAGGCGUUACUCGAAGAAGAAGCACCGGCUAACUCCGUGCCAGCAGCCGCGGUAAUAC
rnacentral:rRNA from 1 species